GACGAACGCUGGCGGCGUGCUUAACACAUGCAAGUCGAACGGAAAGGCCCUGCUUUUGUGGGGUGCUCGAGUGGCAAACGGGUGAGUAACACGUGAGUAACCUGCCCUUGACUUUGGGAUAACUUCAGGAAACUGGGGCUAAUACCGGAUAGGAGCUCCUGCUGCAUGGUGGGGGUUGGAAAGUUUCGGCGGUUGGGGAUGGACUCGCGGCUUAUCAGCUUGUUGGUGGGGUAGUGGCUUACCAAGGCUUUGACGGGUAGCCGGCCUGGGAGGGUGACCGGCCUCCAUGGGACUGCGGUACGGACCAGACUCCUACGGGAGGCAGCAGUGGGGAAUAUUGCACAAUGGGCGGAAGCCUGAUGCAGCAACGCCGCGUGCGGGAUGACGGCCUUCGGGUUGUAAACCGCUUUCGCCUGUGACGAAGCGGGAGUGACGGUAAUGGGUAAAGAAGCACCGGCUAACUACGUG
rnacentral:rRNA from 1 species